GCCUAACACAUGCAAGUCGAACGGGACUUAGUGGAAAGCGGCUUCGGCCAAUGGAAGCUAAGUUUAGUGGCGAACGGGUGAGUAACGCGUGAGGAACCUGCCUUCCAGUGGGGGACAACAGUUGGAAACGACUGCUAAUACCGCAUAACAUAAUCGAACCGCAUGAUUUGAUUAUCAAAGCUUUAUGUGCUGGAAGAUGGCCUCGCGUCUGAUUAGCUAGUUGGUGGGGUAACGGCCUACCAAGGCGACGGUCAGUAGCCGGUCUGAGAGGAUGAACGGCCACAUUGGGACUGAGAUACGGCCCAGACUCCUACGGGAGGCAGCAGUGGGGAAUAUUGGGCAAUGGGGGAAACCCUGACCCAGCAACGCCGCGUGAAGGAAGAAGGCCUUCGGGAUGUAAACUUCUUUUACCAGGGACGAAGAACGUGACGGUACCUGGAGAAAAAGCAACGGCUAACUACGUGCCAGCCGCCGCCGUAACAC
rnacentral:rRNA from 1 species